GCAAAGCAAAAAUUCCAGAAGCCAAAGCUUCACAUCACAAACCCUAAUCCCUUUUUCUCUUAUCUUCUUCUUCUUCUUCCUCUCUCUCUCUCUCUCUGCAAUAAACAUGUCUCACUUUGGACGGUCUGGUCCUCCAGACAUUUCCGACACUUACUCUCUUCUCGUUCUCAACAUCACCUUCCGCACCACCGCCGAUGACCUAUUCCCUCUCUUCGAUAAGUAUGGGAAGGUUGUCGACAUCUUCAUUCCCAAAGAUCGAAGGACCGGUGAGUCGAGGGGUUUUGCUUUUGUGCGUUACAAGUAUGCUGAUGAGGCUCAGAAGGCCGUUGAUAGGCUCGAUGGAAGAAUGGUUGAUGGUCGUGAAAUAACUGUCCAGUUUGCAAAAUAUGGGCCUAAUGCUGAGAGGAUUCACAAAGGAAGGAUUAUUGAAACAGCCGAGAGAUCAAGGCACAGGUCAAGGAGCCGCAGUCCCAGGAAAAGGUAUCGUGAUGAUUACAGAGACCGGGAUUAUAAGAGGAGAAGUCGUAGCAGAAGCUAUGAUAGGUAUGAACGUGAAAGGCACCGUGGGAGAGACAAAGAUUAUCGUCGUAGAAGCAGGAGCCGAAGUACUAGUCUUGAUUACAAGGGUCGUGGGAGGGGACGCUUUGACGAUGAGCGUCAUAGUAGAAGCCGGAGCAGAUCAGUUGAUAGCCGCUCCCCUGCACAACGCAGUCCUAGUCCUCGAAGGAGUCCUUCCCCUCAGAGGAGCACUUCCCCUCAAAGGAGUAUUUCCCCUAGGAAAAGUCCACAGGGUGAAAGUCCGGCAAAUCAUAGCCCUGGUGGACAUUCUCCUACCCCUCGCAGUGUCUCACCACGUGGUCGCCCUGAUGCUUCACGAAGCCCUUCCCCUCGUAAUUCAAAUGGUGAUGAAUAAGUUAUGGAUGUUUAUACAUGAAAAGUUCUGGAGAUGCUGGACUAUUGCACCUGUAGCUGUUUUGCUAUGGUUGGAUCUUUUAGUCUAUGUGAACGGUGUUAUCAGAGUCCUGGAAGGAUUUUAUGAUCUAAGUGCUGUUUGUUAUGAUGGAAAAGUGAUGGGGCCUGUUAGGCGCAUGUUGACUUUGUUGCUGUCGAUGCUGUUUGUGUCCUUGAUGAUUGGUCGUGAAUUUGAUGCUGGUUGCAAGAGUAUGCUGGUUUUAGGACUGUGAUUGUUUUACCAGUAUGCUGAUUAGACAGACAAUUAGUUGACUUGGUUUUUCCUGAUUGAUCUGAUCAUUGGUAAGCUUUUUUGGUUUACGUUUUUGUUUCUUCUGAGAUCCCUCAUAACCACUGAGAAUUCUGAUCUUUGAUCUGGUAACCGUGUUUGGUGUUCAUUGGAAAAAGUGUCCUGAAAGGGAUUCUUGAUGCUGUGACGAACACAAGUUCAGCAUUUUUUGACAUGUAGCUGUUGCCUCGUAGGAGUUGGACCUGUCAUUUGUUGAUUCAGAUGCAGAUAUUUAACGUAAAACUGUGGGUACUAAAUAUGAACGUUAAUGUGCUGGUGUUUAUUUCAAAUUACAGUGAAGGGAACAAUGGUAACACAUACUUUUUGAGGAUAUUUUAAUGGAUAGUUUUUAACAUUGACCUUUCAAGAUUAUAGCAUCUGCUACUUAAUGUAGUUGAGUUACGUUUGUUGUAGCACUGCUCCAUGACACUGUAGCUGUGAGGUGGUAGCUGAUGCAUCUUUUAUAUGAAAUGCAUGUGUUCGUGAAUAAUUUGAAGAACUAACCAAUUACGUAGCUGACUGUUGCUGCCCUUUUUUGCUGUGUUCGGGUUGGCAAUGGUAUUAGCAGUUGCUACUGAUGAUGCUGUCUAGCUGUGCUGCUGGUUUCUGUUGAUUCCAAAGCCGCGUGACAGAAUUGUUUUUCACUAUUGAACUGGUGAUUUGUUUUUGUAGCUUAAUUUCAGUUAUUCAUUUUUUUUUCUUAUGGCAUAAAAAGGUUUACCCCUAUUGCUUGUCUAUUGUUGCUUUGGCAUUUUGAUCAAUAUCGCAACAUUUUGUUUUGGUUAACUGUUUGGCAACUGAAAUAACAAUUGUUUUAGAGAUGUGUUUCUCUUAAAUUUGCAAGUUUCCUCGAGUUGGUGGUGAA